UCCGGUAUGGUGUAACGGUCAACAUUACCGCUUUUCAAGAAAUUUGGGUUACGUAAGAUGCUUACGUAAGCGUUUGAAAAGCGCGGUAGCUCGGGGUUCGAUUCCCCGUACCGGAA